AUUGAACGCUGGCGGCAGGCCUAACACAUGCGAGUCGAGCGGAUGAAGGGAGCUUGCUCCUGGAUUCAGCGGCGGACGGGUGAGUAAUGCCUAGGAAUCUGCCUGGUAGUGGGGGAUAACGUCCGGAAACGGGCGCUAAUACCGCAUACGUCCCGAGGGAGAAAGUGGGGGAUCUUCGGACCUCACGCUAUCAGAUGAGCCUAGGUCGGAUUAGCUAGUUGGUGGGGUAAAGGCCUACCAAGGCGACGAUCCGUAACUGGUCUGAGAGGAUGAUCAGUCACACUGGAACUGAGACACGGUCCAGACUCCUACGGGAGGCAGCAGUGGGGAAUAUUGGACAAUGGGCGAAAGCCUGAUCCAGCCAUGCCGCGUGUGUGAAGAAGGUCUUCGGAUUGUAAAGCACUUUAAGUUGGGAGGAAGGGCAGUAAGUUAAUACCUUGCUGUUUUGACGUUACCAACAGAAUAAGCACCGGCUAACUUCGUG
rnacentral:rRNA from 1 species